CCCAUCACGGCUCCCAUCAUGCUCCUGGGCUGUUUUGGUGCUGGUCUUGGAUGGCGAGCGGCGGAUCGAGAGAUUGGUGGAUCCUGGAAGCUGAUUGGUCCUCCACAAAAGUUUCUGAUGUUCCUGAUGGGACACAGUGUGACUCAGCGGAGCGGAG